rnacentral:SRP_RNA from 1 species
GCCAGGCGUUGUGGCAGGCGCCUGUGGUCCCAGCUACUUGGGAGGCUGAGGCAGGAGACUCGCUUGAGCCCAGGAGUUGGAAGUUGCUGUGAGCCGUAAUGCCACGGCACUCUACCCAGGGGACAGCUUGAGGCUCUGUCUCAAAAAAAAAAAAAAAAAAAAUUUAAGUAACAUACAAUGAAAUCAAGAAGCAUAAAUUCACAAAAGUGGUUUUAUCUUGAAUGAAAAGAGAGUAGGAUGAGAAGGGGACACACAGAGUUCCAAAUUUUAGUUUCUUUUUUUUUCUUUUUUUGAGACGGAGCCUCAAGCUAUCCCCCUGGGUAGAGUGCUGUGGCAUUACAGCUCACAGCAACCUCCAACUCCUGGGCUCAAGCGAGUCUCCUGCCUCAG